rnacentral:lncRNA from 1 species
CUUGUGUAAAGAACAAAUGAUUAUAAUCGAAAAUUGAAAAAUUGAUGUCGAAACUUGAAGUUUGAAGAAGAUUCCUACUCCAAAAUUCACCAAAUGAUUGUUGAAAUCUUCACAAUUACAAAAUAAUAUGAUUGAAAUUUGAAACUUGAAUAUUGAAAGUAUGAAACUUUGAGAAAGAUUGAGAAUUGAGAGAAAUUGAUGAUUCUUAAUUGUUAA